UACGUAGGGUGCAAGCGUUGUCCGGAAUUAUUGGGCGUAAAGAGCUCGUAGGCGGUGUGUCGCGUCGGCCGUGAAAACCUGCAGCUUAACUGUGGGCUUGCGGUCGAUACGGGCAUCACUGGAGUUCGGCAGGGGAGACUGGAAUUCCUGGUGUAGCGGUGGAAUGCGCAGAUAUCAGGAGGAACACCAAUAGCGAAGGCAGCUCGCUGGGACGUUACUGACACUGAGGCGCGAAAGCGUGGGGAGCGAACAGG
rnacentral:rRNA from 1 species